ACAUAGCUCAGUGGUAGAGCAAUCGGCUGUUAACCGAUCGGUCGUAGGUUCGAACCCUACUGU
rnacentral:tRNA from 1 species